UUUUUUGCUCCACAUAUGCAUGCUUUCUACGAUUCGGAGAUCAGUGCAGCCCAAAGAUCACAUUGGAUUCUCCUCACUACACUCCAUCUUCUAACCUAGUCUGCAUAACGGCUAGGUGCAUCCGUUGCCAAGUUCAUCCAAUAUAUGCCAACCGCAUUGCAAGGACGACCAUAUGCACACACACACCACAGUCCACAGGAGACAGAUAGCUAGCUAGCUUACUCUUUAGUCAUACAUACACUUAUAAAUAGCCACCGGCUCUGUGCUCAUCAGCAAGGCAGAUUAAACAAGUGAAGUGGUCCACAUAAAAAAUGAAGUAAUCAGGUCUAGGGAGUCAAAAUUUGGUUGGUUGUCCACUGGAGUUCUCCUCAAUCCACUUCAGUAGAUAGCUAUGGCUAGGCCUCAUUGCAUUGCACUCUUACAUAACUGUGAUCAUGGGGCCAAAAGCUAGCUAUGUAUAGUGAAGUGCUUGGGGGAACUCCAGUUGACACUCAGCAUUUUCAAGUUAGGUAUGUAAGUGCUUGUACUUUAUGAAUUUGUAAGUGACAGAGAAUGAUUAGGUUUGGAGUCCCUAGGAGUUCCUUUCAAGCACUUUACGACACACUGUAUUGAGAGUUGUCGUGAAGUGUUUGGGGGAACUCUUAGUG
rnacentral:precursor_RNA from 1 species